UCUAGGGGGUAAUCAGGAGUCAAUUAUGCUCAACCUUGUGGGCCACUGGAGACUUGGCUUUUACUUUGAGUGAGAUGGGAAACAAUUGGAUGGGUCUGAGCAGGGGAAUGAUACCAUCUGGUUUGGGUAUGGGUGUUAAUAGGAUUGAUCUGGCUGCCCGGAUGAGAAUGGACUAUAAAGGCAGGAGAGGUAACAGGGAGGUCGGCUGUUGUUACAAUCCAGACAACGGAUCAUGGGUGCUUGGGGUCGCUGAUUUAGUGAGAAGUGGCGAAUUCUGGAUACAUUUUGAAGGCCGAUUCAGGGGGGUUUACUGACAGAUUCAAUGUGAAAUACGAGAAAAAGAGGAGUUGAGGAUGACGCCAAAGUUUUGACCUAAGAGACCAGAAAGAUAGAGCUGCUGGUUGCGAUGGGGAAGAUUGAGGAGGAGCAGGUUCGGAGGAAGUUCCCUUUAGGCAUCCAAACAGAGAUGUUGAAAAUUCAGCCCUAGGUUCUAUGAGAGAAUGGAGAAAUGUGAACCAAACCCAAAAAUGAAAGUCCAGAAGAAAGCCCCAACCCCUCGAGGGAGCGGGUACAACCUUCAAGUCACUGUCUCCCCUGUGAAGAAAUAAUUGUCCUAUUUUUACAUUAAUAAUUACAGAAUUAAACUUUAUGUUCUGUUA